CUUUGCAGCUCCUCGGGCACGUUACCCUCUCGCUCGAGUAAGGUAUCAAUCUGGUUAUCUUUCCUCCAUUUCAUGGAAGUUCGGAACAUGUCUUCGGCCUUGACGAGAUCGAGGUUCCGAGCUCGGAGCCAUUUGAUGAGAAGUGUAUUCGUUAUUGGAGAAUGCAGCCUUGAGAACAUCGCUCGUCGUCAUGGUGAUGAGACAAUAGAUAAAAAAAAUUGCUGUGUCAGUAGAAAGACGAGCAGAAAAAAUGACAACAAAUGAAUGGUGAUAUGGAAUAAAGUGUUUUUAAGAAUUGACAUGCACCUAUA